UCCAGGGCUCGCCUUCGAUGCGUAUGGGUACGCCGCCGCCGCCGCCGCCCGCGGCCUCUCCGGCCAGCCGCCGCCGCCUCCGCGCGCCGCCUCUCCGGCCAUCCGCCGCCGCUGCCGCGCGCCGCCUCUCUGCCAUCCGCCUGUUCUCCUUUCCCUCCCCAUCCGUCCCAAUCUUCUCCGGCGCCACCUGAAGCCUCCUCAACCUCCAAUCUCAUGCUGUCAAGCCCUUCUAAUCUCGCCGGAACAUGGACUUAACUGGAACGCCGUCCUGCUAGCCGUGCCCACUUGAGCGAGGAGAGAGUGGUGAGGCGGCUUAGGUGAGGCUCAGGACGGCGUCUCGCAUAUUGGUCUCGAUGUAAUCCGUAUGGUUGAUCCCAGUACAAGCAGGACCCUAAGGAUUUAUCCCCUUUUUACACUGACGAAAUGGGAGGUUUUGGAUUCAACUGUAAUUGUGAUUUGUGCAAAAACUUUGGUAUACAUUGAAGCAAAGCUAACAAGGCUGAAGUCAAAUAGCUAUACCUCCAAUGCUUUGCUUGAUACUGUGACAGUAGUUAUAGUCCAGGUAUUAGAACACCACCAUUAUCUUUUCUUGUUACUUGUGAGGUUAAAAUAAUAUACAUAUGACUAUCAUAUCAGUAGUCUGCUACAACAAAAGAAUGAACAUAGCAAUCCUCAUUGAUGCAUUCAUGGUCACACACCACUUCCAUGAAAAAGACAUGCCACGGUUCUUUGGUAGAUGCCAUCAUACUGGUUUCAUCUUUCUGAAUCCACUAAAUAGAACAAAAAUUUAACAAACAAAUGAGUCUUGUCUCCUUGAAGACGUUGAAGUUCUGAAUUCUAACUGCGAAUUUGUCACUUGGCUGCAAUGUUUCUGUAGAAUCCAAGUAGUAUGUUUAAUGUUAGAAAAUGAAGAAUGUAAUUUGAAAUAUAAACACUGUAGUUUUUCUUAAACGAUGAUCCUUUCAAGUAGUAAUUGAAAUUUUGAAGAAGAAAUUGAAAGGUUGUAUUACCUAUUUGGUUAGGACUUCCUUGUAGACAAUAUUUUUCGUAUAUGUCCCGCUUGUGUUCUCAU